rnacentral:rRNA from 1 species
AUGGAUCCACUUAAAGUGUUCUGCUUGGAUCUUCUUCUAUCUAUAUGUGCUCGUGCUGAAACCCCAACUAGUUUAGUUGAGGGAAAAUCUUUAGAUGAGCAUGCUCAUUUUGUGUGUCACCAUUUGUUUGAAAAAGGGAGACUCUUAUGGAAUCAAAUAAACAGUUUGCUGUGUCAUGCUUGGAAUCUUUGUGAAAUUUAUGAUUUUACUUGUUGCUCUAAGAACCCUAAAAACACCUUCCCUACCUAUGUGAGUUUAAUGAUAAUGAAAUCUUAUCUUCUUAUGGCAAGGGUUUUUAUAGGUACUAUGAUAUAA